CGGGUAACGCACCCUUUCCUUCGGGACAGAGGAGACAGGUGGUGCAUGGUUGUCGUCAGCUCGUGUCGUGAGAUGUUGGGUUAAGUCCCGCAACGAGCGCAACCCUUGUCAUUAGUUGCCAGCAGUUCGGCUGGGCACUCUAGUGAGACUGCCGGGGAUAACUCGGAGGAAGGUGGGGAUGACGUCAAAUCAUCAUGCCCCUUAUGUUCUGGGCUACACACGUGCUACAAUGGCUGGUACAAAGAGACGCAAGAUCGCGAGGUGGAGCAAAUCUCAAAAACCAGUCCCAGUUCGGAUUGUAGGCUGCAACUCGCCUACAUGAAGUUGGAGUUGCUAGUAAUCGCGAAUCAGAAUGUCGCGGUGAAUGCGUUCCCGGGUCUUGUACACACCGCCCGUCACACCAUGGAAGUUGGGGGCGCCCGAAGUCGGCCGUUAAUAGGCUGCCUAAGGCGAAAUCAAUGACUGGGGUGAAGUCGUAACAAGGUAGCCGUAUCGGAAGGUGCGGCU
rnacentral:rRNA from 1 species